GUGCUCGCUUUGGCAGCACAUAUACUAAAAUUGGAACGAUACAGAGAAGAUUAGCAUGGCCCCUGUGCAAGGAUGACAUGCAAAUUCAGGAAGCGUUCCAUAUUUUU
rnacentral:snRNA from 1 species